rnacentral:rRNA from 1 species
GAUGAACGCUAGCUACAGGCUUAACACAUGCAAGUCGCGGGGCAGCAUGGGGGUUGCUUGCAAUCCCCGAUGGCGACCGGCGCACGGGUGAGUAACGCGUAUCCAACCUGCCCUUCACCACGGGAUAACCCGGCGAAAGUCGGACUAAUACCGUAUGUUUUCCAUUGACGGCAUCCGAUUUGGACGAAAGGUUUGGCGGUGAAGGAUGGGGAUGCGUCCGAUUAGCUGGACGGCGGGGUGACGGCCCACCGUGGCGACGAUCGGUAGGGGUUCUGAGAGGAAGGUCCCCCACACUGGAACUGAGACACGGUCCAGACUCCUACGGGAGGCAGCAGUGAGGAAUAUUGGUCAAUGGGCGUAAGCCUGAACCAGCCAAGUAGCGUGCAGGAUGACGGCCCUAUGGGUUGUAAACUGCUUUUAUGCGGGGAUAAAGUGGCCCACGUGUGGGUUUUUGCAGGUACCGCAUGAAUAAGGACCGGCUAAUUCCGUG